rnacentral:rRNA from 1 species
AAUGAACGCUGGCGGCGUGCCUAAUACAUGCAAGUCGAGCGAACGUCAUAGAAGCUUGCUUCUAUGACGUUAGCGGCGGACGGGUGAGUAACACGUGGGCAACCUGCCUGUAAGACCGGGAUAACUUCGGGAAACCGAAGCUAAUACCGGAUAGGACCUUCUCCUUCAUGGGAGAUGAUUGAAGGAUGGUUUCGGACAUCACUUACAGAUGGGCCCGCGGUGCAUUAGCUAGUUGGUGAGCUAACGGCUCACCAACGCAACGAUGCAUAGCCGACCUGAGAGGGUGAUCGGCCACACUGGGACUGAACCACGGCCCAGACUCCUACGGGAGGCAGCAGUAGGGAAUCUUCCGCAAUGGACGAAAGUCUGACGGAGCAACGCCGCGUGAGUGAUGAAGGCUUUCGGGUCGUAAAACUCUGUUGUUAGGGAAGAACAAGUACGAGAGUAACUGCUCGUACCUUGACGGUACCUAACCAGAAAGCCACGGCUAACUACGUGCCAGCCGCCGCCGUAA